rnacentral:rRNA from 1 species
AUUGAACGCUGGCGGCAGGCCUAACACAUGCAAGUCGAGCGCGAAAACACUUCGGUGUGAGUAGAGCGGCGGACGGGUGAGUAACGCGUAGGAAUCUACCUAGUAGUGGGGGACAACUCGGGGAAACUCGAGCUAAUACCGCAUAAGCCCUACGGGGGAAAGCGGGGGACCUUCGGGCCUCGCGCUAUUAGAUGAGCCUGCGUUGGAUUAGCUAGUUGGUGGGGUAAAGGCCUACCAAGGCGACGAUCCAUAGCUGGUCUGAGAGGAUGAUCAGCCACACCGGGACUGAGACACGGCCCGGACUCCUACGGGAGGCAGCAGUGGGGAAUAUUGCGCAAUGGGCGAAAGCCUGACGCAGCCAUGCCGCGUGUGUGAAGAAGGCCUUCGGGUUGUAAAGCACUUUCAAUUGGGAGGAAAGGUUCACGGUUAAUAACCGUGAGCUGUGACGUUACCUUUAGAAGAAGCACCGGCUAACUCCGUGCCAGCAGCCGCGGUAAUACGGAGGGUGCGAGCGUUAAUCGGAAUUACUGGGCGUAAAGCGCGCGUAGGUGGUCUGUUAAGUCGGAUGUGAAAGCCCCGGGCUCAACCUGGGAACUGCAUUCGAUACUGGCAGACUAGAGUGCGAGAGAGGGAGGUAGAAUUCCAUGUGUAGCGGUGAAAUGCGUAGAUAUGUGGAGGAAUACCAGUGGCGAAGGCGGCCUCCUGGCUCGACACUGA